rnacentral:rRNA from 1 species
AUACGGAGGGUCCAAGCGUUAUCCGGAAUCAUUGGGUUUAAAGGGUCCGCAGGCGGUCAAUUAAGUCAGAGGUGAAAGCCCAUCGCUCAACGAUGGAACUGCCUUUGAUACUGGUUGACUUGAGUUAUACGGAAGUAGAUAGAAUAAGUAGUGUAGCGGUGAAAUGCAUAGAUAUUGCUUAGAAUACCGAUUGCGAAGGCAGUCUACUACGUAUAUACUGACGCUGAGGGACGAAAGCAUGGGGAGCAAACAGGAUUAGAAACCCUAGUAGUCC